UACGUAGGGGGCAAGCGUUGUCCGGAAUCAUUGGGCGUAAAGCGCGUGUAGGCGGUUCGGUAAGUCUGCUGUGAAAGUCCAGGGCUCAACCCUGGAAUGCCGGUGGAAACUGUCGAGCUAGAGUCCGGAAGAGGCGAGUGGAAUUCCUGGUGUAGCGGUGAAAUGCGCAGAUAUCAGGAGGAACACCAAUGGCGAAGGCAGCUCGCUGGGACGGUACUGACGCUGAGACGCGAAAGCGUGGGGAGCAAACAGG
rnacentral:rRNA from 1 species